UACAGAGGGUGCAAGCGUUGUUCGGAAUCAUUGGGCGUAAAGCGCGAGUAGGCGGCUUCUUAAGUCUGAUAUGAAAGCCCAGGGCUUAACCCUGGAAGUGCAUUGGAUACUGGGAAGCUAGAGGGUGUAAGAGGAGAGUGGAAUUCAUGGUGUAGGGGUGAAAUCCGUAGAUAUCAUGAGGAACAUCAGUGGCGAAGGCGGCUCUCUGGUACACUUCUGACGCUCAGACGCGAAAGCAUGGGGAGCAAACAGG
rnacentral:rRNA from 1 species